UCUUUGAACUUCUUAUUGACACCAAAGGUUUGGAAAAUGUUCUAGACAUCAUACUGCCGUAAUGGUUGGUCCUUGUUCAACCCAGCUUGCCAGAAACAAAAAUAAUUGAUGGUUCUAAUGAUUGCAUUUUCAAGAGUCUUUCAUGGGGACUGGUUUUUUACCAGUGUUGAUCGCAACAGUUUAGCCUUGAAUUAAAUUUCCAAGAUCCUUCUUGUUCAACUGGCUGAUUUGAUUCUCAACUAUGGUGGGCCUGUUAAUUGAAAAUCACCACCACCAGAAACCAUGAAACACCACCUAUGGUCCCUUGGGGUUCACUUACUACUUUUAUAAGCUGAAAAUCUAAUUAAGUUUUUUGCAUAAAACUGGUAAUGCUCUGACAGUGGGGGCAUUGUAGCAUGUUUGCUUCUUUUAUUGCCAGGCUGAGUGUGGAUGCAGAAGCAUGGGCUGCUUCAAAGUUAUUGUAGCAUUUCAGGACCACAAAUUAAUGGACUAAAAGGUAAUUUGCGUUUCGUGGUGGUUCAAGUUGGAAUUGGGGAUCUCAAGUGAUUGAAACCCAAAUGUUCGACGGAAGUCCUAAUAAAGGAAUUAUUUAUACAUGGCGUAAUUUGGGGUCUCAAUUCUUGCGAUCUAUAUAUAGAUGCUAUACAAGUUACUCCGGAACUGAAAACAUUUGUUUAGUUAUCUCAGUUAAUUUAUUCAGUACGAAAUUGAUCGGAAUGAAAAGGAAAGAAGAAACAAAUAUUUUCAUAGAUUUAUGGUUUUAUUAAGUUUUUAUUUUAUUUUUUAUUUAGAAGUCUUGUAGAUCUAGCCCUAAGGGGUAGUAGAGUUGGUAAGGGAUCUUUUGGUGAAAGUUGAAUGGUUCUCAUUCAAACCGGUAUAAUCCGGUCUAUGCAAUUGUGUGAUUAUUAUGGG